AGUGAAUAGAUACCCAGGUAGUCCAGGGUGUAAACGCUGCGGGCUUGGUGUUGGGGGUCCUUUGAGGGCGCCCAGUGCCGGAGAGAAAGUUGUUAAGCCUGCUGCUUGGGGAGUACGUCCGCAAGGAUGAAACUUAAAGGAAUUGGCGGGGGAGCACCGCAACGGGAGGAGCGUGCGGUUCAAUUGGAUUCAACGCCGGACAACUCACCAGGAGCGACGGUUACAUGAAGGCCAGGCUGAUGACCUUGCCUGAUUUUCCGAGAGGUGGUGCAUGGCCGUCGUCAGUUCGUACCGUAAGGCGUUCUCUUAAGUGAGAUAACGAACGAGACCCUCACCGCUAAUUGCUAGUGUUCUCUCCGGAGGGCACGCACAUUAACGGGACCGCUGUCGCUAAGACAGAGGAAGGAGAGGUCAACGGUAGGUCCGUAUGCCCCGAAUCUCCUGGGCUACACGCGCGCUACAAAGGUUGGGACAAUGGGCUCCGACAUCGAAAGGUGAAGGCAAUCUCGAAACCCAAUCGUAGUUCGGAUUGAGGGUUGUAACUCACCCUC
rnacentral:rRNA from 1 species